AACUUUAUUCCGGAGUUCAUAAAUCUGAGCGUCAUGACCCAUAUGUGAAUAUGUAAGAGAUGCAGCAUUUCAUAUUUUUUCGACAGUGUUAAGCAACAGAUAUGUUCUCGCAAUAUGGGGUUGCAUAGAAUUUAUGAGUCAUGACAUUACUAAUGAGAUCUCAGAGUCCUAUCUAUUAUAUUCUAAAUUACGAACUUCUGAUUUUUUCAUCUCACCAGUAAUGUAACCAUGCAAUCCUCUAAAUUUGAUGAACAAUAAAUAAGAUCUCGACCAAAUAAAAUAAUUAGUUUCAUCAAGUUUUACGGGACUGAUUUGUAAUGAAAGAUUAUCAAAGCUAAUAAUACUCACAUUUUUUGCUUCUGUCAUUUUAGAAUGCUAAAAAUAAGAAGAAAAAAUACCCAAUAAUGAAAACUGAACUUCAUAUCUGCACAAAGGAGCCA
rnacentral:lncRNA from 1 species